rnacentral:rRNA from 1 species
GUGGGGAAUAUUGGACAAUGGGCGAAAGCCUGAUCCAGCCAUGCCGCGUAUGUGAAGAAGGUCUUCGGAUUGUAAAGCACUUUAAGUUGGGAGGAAGGGCAGUAAGUUAAUACCUUGCUGUUUUGACGUUACCGACAGAAUAAGCACCGGCUAACUUCGUGCCAGCAGCCGCGGUAAUACGAAGGGUGCAAGCGUUAAUCGGAAUUACUGGGCGUAAAGCGCGCGUAGGUGGUUUUGUAAGUUGGAGGUGAAAUCCCCGGGCUCAACCUGGGAACUGCCUCCAAAACUGCAUGACUAGAGUACGGUAGAGGGUAGUGGAAUUUCCUGUGUAGCGGUGAAAUGCGUAGAUAUAGGAAGGAACACCAGUGGCGAAGGCGACUACCUGGACUGAUACUGACACUGAGGUGCGAAAGCGUGGGGAGCAAACAGGAUUAGAAACCCCAGUAGUCC